rnacentral:rRNA from 1 species
GAUGAACGCUAGCGGCAGGCUUAAUACAUGCAAGUCGAGGGGCAGCACGGGUAGCAAUACCUGGUGGCGACCGGCAAACGGGUGCGGAACACGUACGCAACCUUCCCAUAACUGGUGAAUAGCCUUCCGAAAGGGAGAUUAAUACACCGUAACAUAACGAGGUGGCAUCACUUUGUUAUUAUAGGCUUCGGCCGGUUUUGGAUGGGCGUGCGCCUGAUUAGGUAGUUGGCGGGGUAACGGCCCGACCAAGCCUCGCGAUCAGUAACUGGUGUGAGAGCACGACCAGUCACACGGGCACUGAGACACGGGCCCGACCUCCUACGGGAGGCAGCAGUAAGGAAUAUUGGUCAAUGGACGAAAGUCUGAACCA